rnacentral:rRNA from 1 species
GACGAACGCUGGCGGCGUGCCUAAUACAUGCAAGUCGAACGCAGUGGGGACGGUUGAGUAACACGUGGCUAACCGCCCAUCAGAGGGGAUAACCCUUGGAAACAGGUGCUAAACCGCUACUGAUUGAUGUACCUGCGGUGGAUUAGCUAGUUGGUGAGGUAACGGCUCACCAAGGCCACGAUGCAUAGCCGGCUGGGGAGGGUGAUCGGCCACACUGGGACUGAGACACGGCCCAGACUCCUACGGGAGGCAGCAGUAGGGAAUCUUGGGCAAUGGGCGAAAGUCUGACCGAGCAACGCCGCGUGAGUGAAGAAGGUUUUCGGAUCGUAAAGCUCUUUUGGUAGGGAAGCGGUAUCUAACCAGAAAGCCACGGCUAACUACGUGCCAGCAGCCGCGGUAAUAC